rnacentral:rRNA from 1 species
GGAUGUGAUCAUACUAAUAAUAAGACAAAAGAUCUCAUCAGAACUAGGAAGUUAAGCAUGCAUAGGCGAGUGUAAUACUAAGGUGAAACAUCAGGGGAAGUCCUCAUGUGCAUCUU